CAAAACCGACAGCAAUAAUGGCGGUGAGAAUAUGCUACUAAUAUUUUGCGCAUAUUACAUAUAUAUUUGCCAACCAAUCACAGACAGUUCUGAUUUAUUAUUUUAUGUUUCGUUUGUGAUAACUGUUCGCAGUCAGUGACUGACAAGUAACGAUAUUUAAUUCAUUGCUUUUGCGUGUGAAUUUUGAUUUGAUGACUUGAAACGGGAGUCUAAGCCUACACACGACGUUGCGUAUAAUGUAAGACAUUUUAUUUGCACGACUCCCAUGCCUGCCACACCGAAUGAAAUUGAAAUGUAUUGAAUUUUCUCAAGCCAAAAAAAUAUUAUGGUUAUGAUAUUUCAUCGAAAUUUGUGAAAUACUACUUAGAUUAUAUGAGUAGUCUGUUCAGUUGUCUUUGUUGUAACUGAAUGGAAGUAAGUGUUCAUAUUUGUGUUAUGACAUGUUAUACAGCUACUGGUGUAGCACGAAGGGCCGUGGAAUGUACCCUGAUUGUGUUAUAAUUUUUGUAAUCCUACUUGCAAUACAAAAUGGAUAGAAUAAGAAUAUGCUAUGCUUCUAGGUGCUUUUUAUCCAUCCUGGCGGCAGAAAGGACUAAUUUUGCAGCUUUUCCAUGGAUCCAGCAUGGUGUGUCAAUUUAAGUUAAAUUCUGAGUUAUAUAAUAGGAAUACAAGAUAUAAUAAAUUCCAUUAUCCUACAUGGCUCUGGCAUAGAGAGGAAAGGUUGGGAUAACCUGCACUAUUGAUUCUGCUAGAAUGCUGCACAAUAACUAUUUCUGUAGCAGACAUUUCUUGGAAAGUGAUUUCACUGCAGCUGAAAGGGUACACCUGAAAAGAGUGGCAGUUCCAUGUGGCUCAGUUUCAGUUCCACUGUCAGACCCACAAACUUCUGGCCCUUUGUUACCUACUCUUCUUUCUUGGAUCCCUUGCCCUCAAUUAUAACUCCCAUACUCAUGCUGUACCUCCCACCAGAACAUGAAGCAAGUCACUGGUGUCCUCUGUUGUAAUAUAUUUCCAUCCAUAUAGACAGUUGUUCCACUUCCUGUCAAAUGUCUGCAGUCCAACCAUCACCAUCAUAUUGUUUAUGUGAAGGCCUGCGACUCACCAGCACGAGACCUCAAGUGACUCGUCUGCCAUAAGAGGAAGGAGUUGUUGCUGUACAGUCAUAAUGAGCAAGUUACACCAUUUCUCUGACGUCCAGUAUGCUGUCCUAUCAUCAAUGCAUGGCUCUUUGAGAUAGCAUUUUCUCUUGCAGCUAUGCCACCAGAAUCUCUGCAUGUCAAGACUGAAGUGAAAAUCUGGGCAUGUCAAGACUGAAGUGAAAAUCUGUGCAUGUCAAGACUGAA